UACGGGGGGGGCGAGCGUUGUUCGGAAUCACUGGGCGUAAAGGGCGCGUAGGCGGCCUGGGAAGUUCUGGGUGAAAGCCCCCGGCUCAACCGGGGAAGGGCCUGGAAAACCACUAGGCUGGAGUGCUGGAGAGGGAAGCGGAAUUCCUGGUGUAGCGGUGAAAUGCGUAGAGAUCAGGAGGAACACCUGCGGCGAAGGCGGCUUUCUGGACAGACACUGACGCUGAGGCGCGAAAGCCAGGGGAGCAAAC
rnacentral:rRNA from 1 species